rnacentral:rRNA from 1 species
CCCCACCUCUCGUUCCCCGCGUCGCCGCCCUGGCGACACGGGCGGAAGACCCAAACCGCGCCGCCGGCUACCCUCCUCGUCGCUCUCCCUCCCCUCGCCGUCGCCGGAGGACACCGCCGAGCUAAGCUCGCGCGGCGGACGGCGGCGGCGGGGCCCUGUUCUCGCCUGGCGGCGGCAGAUCUCGGUGGGGGAGGCUCGGUCCACCUCGGCUACACUGCGCGGUAGUUCCAGCGACUGCUCGCAGCGGCGCUCAUCUCCGGCGAUUCGAAGGGGUUGGCGCCUCUUUCUUCUCCGC